UGGAAUGAUGAUUUUGCAGACUAGAGUCUCUGAAAAUCCUGAAGUAGCUUUCUUUUAUUGCACUGACCA
rnacentral:snoRNA from 13 species